rnacentral:misc_RNA from 1 species
GUCUGACGCCAAAUAACCAUAAAUAAAAUAUGUUGAGUGUGUCGUCAAAUAAAACAUUUCUUUCUUUCCGUACAUUGAUUACAAUACACGUUACUGAAAAGUUCAGAAAACAAAUUGGACACGUGCUAACCCAUGGGCCACCAUAAGUGGCUUUGCAAUAAAGACGUUUAUAAAAUGGUAGUACAUGGAAUUAUUUGGAUAUAGUAUUUUGUGGGCUUUGACCUCAAGGUAUAACCUUUAUGUUUCACAGGAAAAACUGAAUACAUAUUUUGGACAUUAUAUGAUGAUGAGAAUGCAAUUUAAAAUUUUGAAAGUUAAAGUAGACUGUAUAAUAGUUUUAACAGGUAACGGAAGUGUCAGAAAAACGGAAAUAGUUUUUCAUAUCUGAAUGAAAUUCAAAAUACACUGAACCCUGAUACAAUUUUUAAUACAAAUAUGAAACUUAUAAUUGUCUAUUACAGAUGUCAAAGAAAGAUUAAUUCAUUAAAGUAACCGCAUGACCAUAUUUGGAUAUGAAAAGGGGAGUUCUGGGUACGUUACACAGGUAUAUAUAAGCAUAAAGACACGUUAUGUUUGAAGCAAAACAUUAUAAACAUGGCAUACAUACAGAGAGGCAAUCGUGGUGGCUGUGUUUUAAUUUAUAAUAAUCAUCGAUAUCAUAAAAACAGAACAACAAAAGAUGAACUAUUUUGGAGAUGUUGGAGACGAGACUGCCGCGCCUAUUUGCACACAUCAAUAUUUGAUAUUGCAGUGGAGAACCCCCAGAUAGCAAUUCUGAUGUGGUUACGACUGCAGACGGGCAGCCAACCAGUCGUAUCAAGCUUGAUUCCAUGGGCAGUCAUCCUCACCCUGUCGCAGCACAACCACAUAUAACGAGAGCGAACAUCACUAUGCGCUGACACUGACAUGAUAGAGGCUGAUUCAUUGACAAGUGAAAUGGAAAGCGCCAUCAAGUUGAAUUGUACGAAGCCAAUAAGACGUGUGUACAAUGACGUCGUCAGAGACACCAAUGUUGAUGUUGACUGCAUUUCGGAUUUCAACACGCUAUGAUCCAAACUACAGCCGCCUGUGCCUCAUGAUGUUGAGGACGUUGAAAUAGAUGGCGAAUGGAAACGCACCUGGACAAUGUCUGGGGCAUACUCAUUUUUGGAACAGACGGAAACUUUCAGAUGUUCCAAACUUGUAAAACGAUUUACAUAGAUGUGACGUUUAAAACAUGUCCAGUACCAUAUACACAAUUUGUCACGAUACAUGGUAUGUACAAUGGACGAGUUCUUCCAUUUGUUGUGUGCCUUACUACAGGUAAACAAAUAGGACAGUACAGACAGUUGCUGCAACAUGUGAAAGGCAAAGUAAGAGCAUGCACUGGUCACAGAUUUUGACCUCAGCAUGUUGUGUCGGACUUUGAACAGGCCAUCAUUACUGCUGUCGAAACUGAAAUUUCACAAGCGCAAAUAUGGGGUUGCUAUUUCCAUUUUUUAAAAAGUCUUUGACGUAGGGUCCAAGAACCGGCACUUCCUUAUGCACACCGCCGACACCUCAGAAAAUGUAUACGGAAAUUCCUCGCAAUUGGGUACCUUCCGAUACCGCUUGUACGACAAAACUUUCAGCUUUUGGCAACAUCCCGGAGAACAACACAGCUGAUUCAUCGUUAUCCUGCUCUGCAAGAGUUCAUUAUGUACAUGGACAGGAAUUAUCUACAAGGGAAUUUCCCUCCGCAUAUGUGGAACGUGUUCAACAGGGUAUGCGACACACGAACAGCUAUGUUGAAGGUUUUCACUACAAGUGGAAUUCUGCUGUAGGAAGACGCCAUCCGUCUCUGUGGAUGUUCAUCCGGAAGCUGAAAGACGAGCAGCAACUUUUGGAGGUUUCAGCGGCGGCAGCACGCAGAGGAAAUCCACCAAACCGUCGAAGAAAAAAGUGGCGCACACUCGAAGAUCGGAUAAUUCGCCUCAAACAGUCCUACAAUAAUGGGCGGUGUACGUUGGAAGACUAUUGGACAGCAGUUACCUGUGCUGUUCGAGCAUUUGUUUGAAGCUUGUGGGGAAGUCUUUUGGAUAAGUCUUUUGGAUCUAAAAACAUUACCAACUGUUUAACAGUAUGGAUUGUGCGAGUCGUUUUAUGUGUUGUAGUACUUGUUAAAGCUGCUAUAUCCGGCUGCCAUGUUAUAACAUCGACUACUAAAUCAAAAUCCAGACAUAACUCCACUUUUACGUCUUGCGAAUUGAGUAAUAGGUUUUUGACGAUAUGUAAUAUAGGUGCAGCUGUGCUUUUAUUUUGCAUUAGUAUUCGACAUUAUAACAUGGAAACCCAGAUAUAGGAGCUUUAACUGUUAUGUAUUUCAAUAAAGUUAUUUUAAUUAAAAACUGACAUUGUUUGUUUGUUAACUCGUGUAUUAUACUAUACUACUAGUCUAUCCAGGUGUGGCUUAUGUUUUAAAAUAUCCACCAUUAAAAGGGGCAUUCUUCUUGUUAUAUUAUUUAUAUAAUUAUAGAUUAAUAGCAUCACAAAGCCUUUAAAUCGUGACCACUUUAGAAUGCUCUUGGAUAAACAGAGAAUAUAAUAUGGACGAUCGUUACAUACCUUUUAGCUUCCAGGUUGCUUCAAACCUAAGGAGCCAAGAUUGGCGUUGCCUGGGGAGGGGGUAGGAACACUAUGCUCUCCACAAGCAAACUAUUUUUCCUCAGCCACAUUCUUUAUGUUUGUCGUCCUAUUAACAUGGGGCCGGGCCGUAGCUCAGUGGUACAGCGCUCGCUUGGUGCACGGUCGAUCCCCGUCGAUGGGCUAAUUUUCAUUCCAUUCAUGCUGCACAACUGGUGUAAAAAAUAAAAUCGUAAAGAGUAGCCCAUGAAGUGGCGGCAGCGGGUUUCCUGUCUCAAUAUCGGUGAGAUCCUUCACCAUAUUUCCUUCCUUCCAUAUUAACAGUUUCAAAAACAAUGUAGUCGACCCUCGAUGCAUUGUGGUCCCCUCCAAUAUAAAAUCCUGGCUACGCCAAUGGGAGCGAACAUGAGGUGAACACAAUUUUAAUCACAAUGCAAGAUAAUUGAUAUCUGUCACGAAUAUAUCUUUAUAUUUAACAUACAGUUUAAAGAGAAAUUAAAAGGUACUUUGAACCAAGUUAUAUAUGUCGCUCGAGUUACGUAAUAUACACUGUUGAUUUGUACGUCAUCUGACAAUAGAAAUUGAUAAGAUAACAUAGUUGCGUAAAACAUUUUACACAGAGGUACGCCUAGUGAAUACUGUAAAGUAUUCACAUUUUAGUGCACUUGACACGGUUCUUUUGCCAUUUUUCGUGAUUAUAGCCUAAUCUAUAAACCUUCGGACUACCGAACCUUCGGACCAUUGAACCUUCGGACUAUUGAACCUUCUUACCAUUGAACCUUCGGACUAUAGAGCUGUGACCUAUAGAUCUACAUAAUUAAUAUCCCUAUCCGAUACGCC